CAGACGCCAUCCUGGUGGAUAAAGGCUACGAGGUUCCUGCUGGCAGGACGGGAGGCAAGGCCUCUGGCCCGUCGCGUAGACCCCGACUGCUGGCUGUGUGACCUCAGGCUGGUCCCCAAACCUCUCUGGGCAGUGUGUUCUUUGGACCCCGUGCGGGGCCAGCCUCCAGGGAGCGCGUGAGCCAAUCCGGUCCCGGUCCAGGGGACUGGCCGGGCUGGUGCUGCCGUGGGGUCUGAGCACAUGGCCUGGAAGUCACACGGGGCCCUCUCGACAAGGUCAAGCCAUUCUGCGGUCUGAUAGGCAAAGGCACCUGUUUCUUUCUGCCGGGAGUUCCUGCUCUCACCGCCCAUCCUUGACUCGGCCUGGGUGCGGGGCUGGCGCUGGGAUGCUGGGCUCCGUCCCCGGGUCACGGCCCAGCCCUGGCCUGGCUUUGCCAGCGGGCAGCUGGCUGACCUCUGGCCGGCCGUCCCCGGGAGGGAAACACGCGGAACGUAUGUUUGUGAGGGCAGGUGGGACAGCCCAGGGGUCCCCGGCUGCGCCUGGCUGUCCCCCCUCCCCCAAAAUGGCCAGGGGGGCCGUCAGCACGAGAAGGACGUGUCCUUCAGAAAGACAGGUUACCCCCAAACCUGUGAGUGCCCUGAUUUGGAAAUAGGGUCUUUGCAAAUGUCUGGGGGGAUGGGGUCAUGCUGGAUUAGGGUGGGCCUCGAUCCAGUGACCGGGGUCCUCGUGAGAAGAGUGGAACUUAGACAGACACACCGGGAGGAGGGCAAACGACACUGGAGGUGGAGGUGGAGGUUGGAGUGACAGGUCGGUAAGCCCAGGGACGCCAGGACUGCCGGGGGCGCCCGAAGCCGGGGCAGCGAGCGAGCGUCCCUGAGAGAGGGGGCCACCUGCCCGCGCCUUGACCUUAGACCCCCCACUUCCAGAACUGCGCCUCCGCUGGGCUAAGCUCCCAGCUGGUGGCCCUUUGUUACAACAGCCCCGGGACCUGCCCGCGCCCACUGCCGCUGUCACCCUCCGGUCACCGCUCAGACGGACGCGAGAGAACGUGCUGGUCUCCUCCCAUCUGAACACGUCCAAGGGCAAGGCCGGCCUCUGUCCACAGCUUACGGGCUUCCUCCAUUGUUGGGGGCUAAGCUGCUCUUUGCUGAAGGGAAGGCGGCCGGCGACACCCCGUCUCCCAGAUGGAAAAACCAAGGCUCUCGGGGGGCUCCCCACGCCCACGCCGUCGCUCAGCUCUCCACAACCGCGUCUCCCGCUGCCCGCCCGGGUCAGCCUCCUUCCCGCCCAGAUGUUGGACCGAGUCCUCGGAGUUCCCGGCAGAGGGGAGAGGUCAAGAAAUUUCCGAGCUCAGAUGAGGACAGCCGCCUGGCUCUGUGACCUGCUUCGUGGAGAGCCUGGGAGGCGACUGUGGGGCAGCGAGCUGGUCGGUGACUCCAGCCCGGGCAGCGCGACCCGUUUCCCUGAGCUCACACCGCCCUCGGCCCUGUCGAAACAGAAGCGGGCUCCGUCCAGGCCUGAGGUUGUGGCCGCUGGACGCCUGGAGCCCGGCUGGUCAGCCCGGCCCAAGCCGCACCGCCACUGAGAGCCACCAGAAGCCACAGGAGCCUCCCCACCCAGAGCUCCCUCCCCUGGGCUGGCCGCCCGCACAGGGACCCGGCCACCAAGGUGACCUAAGCGGCAGAGAUUGGUGCUCCUGCAGUUCUGUGAGCUGCUUCCGGAUGACCAGUGAAAGGCACGUGUCUGAGACAGAAGGGGUGCACGAGCCCGAGCAGAGGAGAUCGGGUUCCAUCCGAGGAGGCACAGACCCUCUUCAGCAGAUGAAAGACUGAAUCAGAACCCGCAGUCUGGCUUACGGCGCCCGUCAGCCGAGACGACCGUGGGAUACAGCGCCACCAACAGACACGAGCCCUGAAGACUGUAAUUCACAAAUCAGGAGCCCCCGCCCCCGAGGUUUAAAACCACUGUUUUAAUGCUCUCGAAAGAACCCGUUUUCAAAUGAAGCUCCACAGGGACCACAAGCACCCGGCCGUGCAUGCCGAUGGCCGGAACGUCUCCGCUGAGCCUGCGGGCCCUCCUGCCCCACACAGCGGCCCUCUGCAUCCCCUCCGGGCUCUGCAGCAAGUCUGGAUCCAGGGUCUGCAGGGGACUCCUGGCUGAGCUGUAAGGGCCUCAACCACUCUGCUUACCUAGAGGAGGUCUCACACCUCAGAGAAAGAACCUCAACCCCAACGCACAGGUUCUGAAUCCAGCGGCCUUCGGGACGUCGGGGACCGAUGGCAGUUCACGGCGUCAGGUCUUUAUUCUGAGGGAAAUCGCUCCCACACGGAGCCCAAUACAGCACCUUGGUUUUGUCAACACCGCACAAUACACCAGGGCCGGGCUCCCUCCCUGACCCGAGCCUGAGCCGAGGACACCUCGCUGGCCCAGUCACUUCCUCCCGGGUCAACGACCCACACCUGGUGGAACCAGUGCGGUCACUAAGGAGCCCUCCCUCCCCGCCGCACAGACAUGCAGGACCUUGACCCUCUCCAGGCUAGAAAGAGAUGCCAGCCUCGGCUUCUGUGUGUAAUUACAGAACAAUUAAUGAACUGUGAAGCUAAAAAGAACUUAGAGAUCAUAUCUAACCUCAAUUUAGCCCACUGAAGUUCAAGUAGCUGCUUCUGGUCAAAAGACAACAGAAAAGAUUAGUUAUGUGGUGAAAUCUAGAACCAGAUCUCCCAGCUGUCAGUCUGAUCUGCAGAGAAACAAAGCACUUAAACCAGGAGGGACUUGACAAAUCACUCAGGGACACCUUUACAUUUGCACAAACAGCCCGAUGGGAUGGAUUUUCAUUUCUGCACGGAGACCCCACUUUGAGCAAUGUUUAUGCUCCAGUUCAGACAUGAAACAAGCGGGGUGC